rnacentral:lncRNA from 13 species
CAAAAAACAGGAAUCACUGCGACAAAGGUUUAUCUUAACCUAUCUACCCAAGCAAAGGCGUUAGCACCAAGCCCCCAUAUCCAUUAAACAAAGCAAGAUUUAGAGAGAGGCAGACAGGCCACUUCCAGGCCACGUUUUCCUAAUGCUGCCUAGCCCUGUAGAGGAAGCCGGGAAAGAUGUGUAUUCGGUCCCAAGAAGCUCUGAAAAUUGAAAUAAAAACUGAAGAAAAAUGGACA